rnacentral:rRNA from 1 species
GGUGGCAAUGGCGAAGGGGAACCACCUGUACCCAUGCCGAACACAGAAGUUAAGCCCUUUAGCGCCGAAGAUACUUGGUGGGUAACUGCCCGGGAAAAUAGGUCGCCGCCGGAU